AGCCUCCCAAAGUGUUAGGAUUACAGGCGUGAGCCACUGCGCCUGGAAAGUUUGUUUUGUUUUUACCGUAAAUGUUACAUAUUAUUGUUCUGUGACUUGCUAUUUUCUUUUGAUAAUGUAUCUUGGAGAUCUGACCACAUCAGUAUGAAAACACUAUUUUUUUAAAGAAGAACACACAAUAUUUCACAGUCAGAAUAAACCAUAACUUUAUUAGUGUAGUAUUGUUUGGCAUUUAGGUCAUUUCCAACUUUUGCCAUUUAAACAGCACUACAAAAACACUCUUUGACCCAUUCCUUUGAAUAUUUGUAUGUCUCAGUCGAGCGUAUGGCUAAAGGAGGAAUGUCUGCAUCAGUGUUUGUGCAUUUUCAUUCUAAUAAAUGUUGCCAAAUUGCCUGCCAAAUAUAUGACCCCAGUUUACACACUGUCCAUUCAUUCACUCAUUUAUUUAUUGACUCACAUACUUGAUAAAUAUUUAUCAAGGAUCUACUCUGUUCUGGGCACACUGUUCUAGGUUCUGGGAAUUCAGCAGUGAUGAGGAGGUAGUCCUUACUCUCAUGGAACUUGCAAUCUGGUCAGAGAGAGAGAUCCCCAACACGUAGAGACGUAUAUAUAUGGUGUGUCAGGUGACGAGAAACGCUAAAACAAUCCUGAGAUGAGGAGGCUGAGGCCAAAGGAAAGACUAAGACCUGCCCAUGGACACAUGUUGGCAAAGACCAAGCAGGAACUCGAGCCAGUUUACCUGAAACCAAGGUCCAGGCAUUUGUGAAGGUAGAAGGCUGAAUAAAUGAAAUUGUAUAAUUA
rnacentral:lncRNA from 1 species